rnacentral:rRNA from 1 species
AAGCUAGCGAUAGUGAGCGAAUCCCAAAAAGUGCGUCGUAGUCCGGAUUGGAGUCUGCAACUCGACUCCAUGAAGUCGGAAUCGCUAGUAAUCGUAGAUCAGAAUGCUACGGUGAAUACGUUCCCGGGCCUUGUACACACCGCCCGUCACACCAUGGGAGUGGGCUGCAAAAGAAGUGGGUAGUUUAACCUUCGGGAGGACGCUCACCACUUUGUGGUUCAUGACUGGGGUGAAGUCGUAACAAGGUAGCCCUAGGGGAACCUGGGGCUGGAUCACCUCCUUA